rnacentral:rRNA from 1 species
AUUGAACGCUAGCGGGAUGCUUUACACAUGCAAGUCGAACGAGUGGCGGACGGGUGAGUAAUAUCUCGGAACGUGCCCAGUAGCGGGGGAUAACUACUCGAAAGGGUUGCUAUUACCGCUUACUAUUGGAGGGGCCGAUAUCGGAUUAGCUAGUUGGUGGGGUAAUGGCUCACCAAGGCAACGAUCCGUAGCUGGUUUGAGAGGACGACCAGCCACACUGGGACUGAGACACGGCCCAGACUCCUCCGGGAGGCAGCAGUGGGGAAUUUGGGACAAUGGGGGAAACCCUGAUCCAGCCAUCCCGCGUGUAUGAGAAGGCCUUCGGGUUGUAAAGUACUUUUGGCAGAGAAGCGGUAUCUGCAGAAUAAGCACCGGCUAACUACGUGCCAGCCGCCGCGGUAAUAC